CCUGGUGGCGAUAGUAUAGCGGGAAACACCCGAUCCCAUCCCGAACUCGGCAGUUAAGCCGCUAUGCGCCGAUGGUAGUCUGGGAACGCCCAGGCAAGAGUAGGUACUGCCAGGG
rfam:Desulfurella acetivorans A63, complete genome.